AGUGAACGCUGGCGGUAGGCCUAACACAUGCAAGUCGAACGGCAGCACAGUAAGAGCUUGCUCUUACGGGUGGCGAGUGGCGGACGAGUGAGGAAUACAUCGGAAUCUACUUUUUCGUGGGGGAUAACGUAGGGAAACUUACGCUAAUACCGCAUACGACCUACGGGUGAAAGCAGGGGAUCUUCGGACCUUGCGCGAUUGAAUGAGCCGAUGUCGGAUUAGCUGGUUGGCGGGGUAAAGGCCCACCAAGGCGACGAUCCGUAGCUGGUCUGAGAGGAUGAUCAGCCACACUGGAACUGAGACACGGUCCAGACUCCUACGGGAGGCAGCAGUGGGGAAUAUUGGACAAUGGGCGCAAGCCUGAUCCAGCCAUACCGCGUGGGUGAAGAAGGCCUUCGGGUUGUAAAGCCCUUUUGUUGGGAAAGAAAAGCAGCAGGUUAAUACCCCGCUGUUCUGACGGUACCCAAAGAAUAAGCACCGGCUAACUUCGUG
rnacentral:rRNA from 1 species